rnacentral:lncRNA from 1 species
ACGCUUAAGUUGGUCAAAUAAGUCAUUAAUUUUGGAAAGUGCAUACUUGUUCUUGACCGUGAAUUUAUUGAGCUGACGUUAACCAAUACACAUUAUGAGACCCGUCUUUCUUUCGCACGAUUAAGACUUAUGCGCUCCACGAUGACAUACUGGUUUUGAUGAAUUGCUUAUAUAAGAGAUCCUUCAAUUGUUCUUUUAGUUCUUUGAGUUUUGCAGGUGCCAUUCUAUAUAGCAGAACAGAUAUAGGCUGGGUAUCUGGAAGAAGAUCAAUGCCAAAGUCUAUUUUCCUUUCGGGAGGAAUCCUUGGAAGAUCUUCG